rnacentral:rRNA from 1 species
GAUGAACGCUGGCGGCGUGCCUAAUACAUACAAGUCGAGCGAACAGACGAGGAGCUUGCUCCUCUGACGUUAGCGGCGGACGGGUGAGUAACACGUGGAUAACCUACCUAUAAGACUGGGAUAACUUCGGGAAACCGGAGCUAAUACCGGAUAAUAUCUUGAACCGCAUGGUUCAAUAGUGAAAGACGGUUUUGCUGUCACUUAUAGAUGGAUCCGCGCCGCAUUAGCUAGUUGGUAAGGUAACGGCUUACCAAGGCAACGAUGCGUAGCCGACCUGAGAGGGUGAUCGGCCACACUGGAACUGGGACACGGUCCAGACUCCUACGGGAGGCAGCAGUAGGGAAUCUGCCGCAGUAGGCGAAAGCAUGACGGAGCAACGCCGCGUGAGUGAUGAAGGUCUUCGGAUCGUAAAACUCUGUUAUUAGGGAAGAACAAAUGUGUAAGGAAAUAUGCACGUCUUGACGGUACCUAAUCAGAAAGCCACGGCUAACUACGUG